GGCUUUAUAGUUUAACUGGUUAAAGCACCGCCCUGUCACGGCGGAGUUUAGGGUUCGAGUCCCCAUAGAGCCGCCA
rnacentral:tRNA from 1 species